rnacentral:lncRNA from 1 species
GUUAACACCAAAAUGACACAUGUUUGUAAUUUACUGUUUUCAGCUGACGCCGUCCGGUGAAGCUUCGUACAGGAACUACUGUUGCUUACCUCGUGCCACGUUGGAUAAAAUGCACAAAAAGCGCUGAAUGAGCACUUAUAUAGAGCAAAAUAAACAUUUUCUCAUUUGACAAGGCGUCUUGCGUCUACUUUAUGAAAUUGCACGUCGUACAGAUUCGACGGAGGAUUGUAAAGAUCGUUCGCAGUCAUCUUUGCUUAACAAAACGGUUCCGCACCAAGACCACGCCCGGUUAAACACCAGAAGCAAAAAAAGAAAAUAAAGGGGAAAUGCCGCGCCAAAGCAGCCGUUGUAACGCAUUUAAAUGCGUUCAAAACACGCGCGCCGAAAACCGAAACCGGAAGUGUGGUUCGGGUAUUAAUGGCGGCUGCUUGGAGCGCUCCAGUUGAUUCGGCCACUGGACCUGCUCUCUAUGGGAUUGUCCGCGUAGGUCUCCGCUCUUGUUGAAUUUCUUUCCCUUUGUUGUGUCUCUGUACUCUAGACCUAUGCUAAAAAGAGGAGCUUCUUUAUUCUAUGGAGCUGCUUCAUAACAUAGUGAAACGUUGCAGCAUGAUUGCAACCGUAGUGUGCAAUUGCAAAUAACCCGUCGCUUCCUUGUAGAAGCGAGCCUUCCCGUUUGCGAAUAUCCGCCGCCCAUCUAGUUUGGCUGUUCACCUGGAGUUGAGCUGUGGAACGUCGUUCGUACCGUUUCACAUCAUGGACAGUACGAAGCACGUCACGAUCAACGUAUUUAUCCUAGAACCACUUCGUCUGCUCCCAACUCUACGGAAAGCCAUCAAAGUGGUCAAUAAGGCCGUCAAAGAGGACGAGAAGCGCAACUACCCGGCAGCCCUCCGCCUCUACGAGCAAGCCAUCCAAGACUUCAAUCGUGCCGUCAAAAAAGGCGAAGCAGGGACUGAUCAAUCGGAACAGUUAGUCCGAGACAUGUGCGCCACGUACUCGGACAGGGCCGGAUUGAUCAGAGCGUCCCUGUACGGAAACAGCGACAAGGAAGGACUCAUCGACAGCGAUGAUGAGCGCCGGAAGAAGAGAAGAUUUUGGCUGUGUUGUUAAACUUUGUGUUGGUUUAUGGAAAAUGUUCCGCGCGCAUUUAGUGUAGGGUAUGGUGCACGGAAUUUUCGCCAUGUCGCGGAUAGCCGGUGCGAUGUUUCCAUUCCUAUGAAAACUGUAACUCUUUCAUGUUAUACAGGUGUGACACGUACACUUCUGAUCGCGAUCGGGAGCGAUCCGGAUCGAAAUUCUCGACUGCGAUUGGCUCUCUCGCGCAUUUUGUGCAAAGGAGCCAAUCACGACCGAGAAAUUCGAUCCGGAUCGGGCUUGAUCGCGAUCAAAAGUGCACCGUGUGACAUCCGUACUAGCCAGUGGCAUAGCCAAGGGGUGGCACACCGAGCACGCAACUCCUCCGAAAUUUAUGCGGCUUUUCCAACCCCCUCUCCCCCUGAAAAACUUUCUGUCCACGCCACUGUUACCAGCCGCAUGUCUUUUGUGAGUGCUCUUUUAUAUUUAUGAAACAAAAAAAGUCCGCAAAAUAAAAACUUCUUUAUUAACUUAUAA